UGUGAUGUUUGGUGCAGAUCGGACAUCGCAUGUUUAAGAUAGUGUAAACCAAGUCAUUUCCUGUUGUCAGCAGGUGGCACUAUGACUAUAACUGAAUGUGGGCAUGUAGAUCUGUUCAGGUCAGGAGUCUUAUCAAAUAUGUGAAGUUUGGGGCAGAUUGGACAUUGUAUGCCUGAGUUA